AAAAAAAAAAAAAAAGCUUUUUAAAAAAUAAAAAAAGCAUAAAGAGAACAAGAAGAAGAUGAUACCGAUGUUACUACUCAUAAACGAAGAAACUGAAUGAAUUAAAACUAUCCAAAAUCUUGAGAUCCACUGGACAGACUUGAAUUAUAUGAAGAUUUCAAAGUGUCUCUUUAGCUUCUAAAGGCUAAUUUUAAUAAAAUUGCAGGGGUGGAGAAAUGGGAACCUCCAUCAAGUGAGUAUGGGCAUAGAGUGUCCUCUACCUUGUAUUUAUGUANNAUCCACCGUGUCCAUUACAGAUGCAAGUGUCAAUGAAAUAAGAAAACACACAAUCACCUUUCAGUGUCUCCAAAACCCCAAAGUAUCAUGAUUGCUACUGGAUGGCUUCCUUUUUCUAGAUUCCAGUUCUUGAGGGCAUUAAAAGACCCACAAGCUAAUACUUAUAUUUGGCUUAUCAAAGGAAUGGAAAAAGAGGAAUGAGGAACUUUGCAAAAGUAACUAUCACUACAGCAGUGUGGCUAUUAACAAAUGCCCCCAAAGUAGAAUGCAGAUUCAAAGAAAUGCAAUUUGCUUUAAAGUAUAAACUACAAAAUAAAAGAGUUGGCAUAUCAACACCACAUACUGAAAUUUAAUCAAACUGAAAAGAACAGUUGAUCUCUCUUCAAGAGAAAAGGAGGGGGUCAUGUGUCUGUCUUUAAUAUAUGGAUGGCUGGGUAGGGUAAAUGACUGUCUCACAGAAGGUUUAUCUGUAAACACUGCAGUGAGUCUGGGGUUUUUAGCCACAAUAAAUGGCUGGUUUCAAUCAGCUGCUGCUAGCAGGAAAUCCAUGGCCCAUAGGAGCAAUUACCCAUCUCUUGACUGAAGCACAGGACAAUUACAAGCUACCAAAGUAUACUCAUGAUAAUGGAGCACUUGACUGUUCAGUGCUAAUGGAAUCGGGACAAGAAACAGUGGUUUGUAGCUACGUUUCUCAGCUUUAACCCAGCCCCAAACCCUUGCUUAUUUCCCUUAUCUCACAAGACAGCGGCACAGACUGAGGAACUGUGGUCUACAAAAGCAGUAUUAUCUUCACCCAAAACACAGACAUCAAGGUUUUCACUCCUCUGCAUCCCCAACAGCCCCUUAAAAUGAUUUACACUCAUCCUGAUUUUUCAAAACGCAUCACACCUUCAUCUGUAGUUUUGCAGAUUUCUUACCUAAGGGUCAUAUUCAGCAUUUGGUGCUCAUUAUUGGCUAAAUGGAUUAGCCAAAUUAGGACUUCUGAUCUCAAGGAAGUAAAGAGAAACUUGUCAGGGAAAUAAAUGGAGAAAUAAUUACUCUUUUAUGUCACUGUGGAAAAAAAUGUCAACUAGGCAUCCACAGAGAGGUAAAGUUUCUAAGAGUAGAGAAGGAAAAUAAAAGUAAGUGGUCUCUCAGUUAACCUUCUAUUCUCAUUACAUUUCUUUCUAAUGGAAGACCUAAUGUGUUAAGCGCUGUACCAUGUGCUUAAGUGCAUUGUCUCAUUAAGCCUCAAGAUAACCCCAGAGCAGAUAAUAUGAUAAUCCUCACUUAAAGAAUGAGAUAAUGGAGACUCAGUUUGAGUAAUUUUCUCAAAGCAUCACAGCUAAGCACAUUGUGGAAUCAGGACUUGAAUCCGAUCUAUAUCAUUCGGAAACCUAGCUCAUAAAUACCCUAUCAUCCUGCCCCUUCUCUUACUGAAUGACUCCAGUGAGAGGCAAUGAAUAAUUGGCAAAACCACUCUAUUGUGCUCCCAUGAUAGACAUUAACANNNNNNNNNNNNNNNNNNNNNNNNNNNNNNNNNNNNNNNNNNNNNNNNNNNNNNNNNNNNNNNNNNNNNNNNNNNNNNNNNNNNNNNNNNNNNNNNNNNCUAUUGUGCUCCCAUGAUAGACAUUAACAAUGAAUCCUGGCAUCCUUUCCCACUGAGUGUAGACAGGAUCAUAUAAUCUCUUCUAUCACAGUAAUUUCAUGAAUCCAACAAUCUUCAACCUUUAUGCCAACUUCAGUAUAGAAUUUCUCAGGCCUGGCACAACAUUUGACCUACCAGUCAAAUAACAAUUCAAUAAAUGUUCGAUUUAAGAGAUCAUUGUAUAGAAGGAACAUAGACAUCUUCAUUAAACACAAAGAGAUCAGGGUUUAAGUUGUG
ensembl:lncRNA